rnacentral:rRNA from 1 species
GAUGAAGGUCUUCGGAUUGUAAACUUCUGUCACAAGGAAGGAACUAGCAGGUGCUAAUAACACCUGCCUUGACAUUACCUUGAGAGGAAGCCCCGGCUAACUCCGUGCCAGCAGCCGCGGUAAUACGGAGGGGGCAAGCGUUGUUCGGAUUUACUGGGCGUAAAGGGUUUGUAGGCGGAUAAAUAAGUGAAACGUGAAAGCCUGCGGCUUAACCGCAGAAUUGCGUUUCAAACUAUCAAUCUAGAGUACAGGAGAAGUAAGUGGAAUUCUCAGUGUAGCGGUGAAAUGCGUAGAUAUUGAAAGGAACACCAGAGGUGAAGACGGCUUACUAUUCUGAUACUGACGCUAAGGAACGAAGGCUAGGGGAGCAAACAGGAUUAGAUACCCUGGUAGUCCUAGCAGUAAACGAUGUCAACUUGGUGUGGGGGGUUUCGACCUUCUCCGUGCGUAGCUAACGCGUUAAGUUGACCGCCUGGGGAGUACGGCCCCAAGGCU